ensembl:lncRNA
CGGCUGUGUGUGACUGAAGGACUGCUUCAUGCUUCUGGUCUCUGGAUUAGAUGAGAAUGCUGGUCAUUGGAAUUGUGAUGAUGUUCACAGGAGCUUCCAUGGGUUUGCUGUCCAUGAACCCUGUUUGUAGAUUUACUCAGAGUGAUCCAUGUUAUGGAGCUGUGGGACGACCGCUGUACCUGCAGCUGCCAUCUGAGGAUCAAUUAGUCUUAAAGAAGAACAUCAGUGGAGCUCGUACGGAUCAUAUUUUCAGAUUUCUAAACCAUAAAAUCAUAUUAAAACAUCCAGAUUAUCAAAGAUGGCAGUUUGUUACUGAUAACAGAACCAUGAUAAUCAGCAGUGCAGAGAAAAGAGACUCAGGAAGAUACACUUUAGAUACAUAUGAUUCAGCAGGGACAGACAGAGGCGUUUAUUAUCUCCAGCUCGUUAUUGAAGAUGUGGUGUCCUCAGUGACUGUGACAGACAGCUGCUUAUCUAUUGAGAAGAGGAAAGUUUACUGUUCGUCUGAUGGAGAUAAUGUGCACUAUAACUGGACUCUCCAACAUACACAUCAACUGGCUGAUGGGAACCAGACUCUCCUGCUGGACAAAGAAGCUGUUGGACGUGUGACCUGCUAUGCUCAAAAUCACGUUAGUCGUGGACACAAAGCUAUUGAACUACAACAGUGUCCUGACACUUCCGGUGUGUUUUUGGUUGUGUGGUUUUUGGAGAUUUUUAUUCUGCUGUCAUUGUUGGGAGGUUUUCACAUCUACGGCAGAAUCCAAAGAAAACAGACCAGCAGAGCAGCAGAAAGUAAGAACUCUAUGCUUACUACAUAAUAAAAGCACAUUUAGAAAACAUCCUUACCCAGAAUAAGAGUCAAGUAAGAGCCAAUAUGACAUAUAUGUGAUUUUAUUCACAUAAUUUUGUAUAAUGUGCAAUAAUAUAUUUUUAUUAUAUUUAUUAUAAUUUGGGCGACACGGUGGCGUGGUGGGUAGCGCUGUCGCCUCACAGCAAGGAGGGCCUGGGUUCGAUUCCCUGGCCAGGCGACCGGGGUCCUCUCUGUGUGGAGUUUGCAUGUUCUCCCCGUAUCUGCAUGGGUUUCCUCCCGGUUCUCCGGUUUCCUCCCACAGUCCAAAAGACAUGCAGUCAGGCCAAUUGUGUAAAAUGAUCAAAUUGUAAGUAGCUCUGGAUAAGAGUGUCAGCCAAAUGCUGGUAAUGUAAUGUAAAAAAAUGUAAUAAUUUCUUCUCACAAAAAAAGCCAUGAAUGUUGCUCAGUUUUGAGAUCAUAUUACGUUUUAAAUUUGCAAAUAACUGGUAUGAGCCAACAAAUUUUAGCUAAAAUUUCACAAGGUGAAAUUGUCAAAAACCCCACAAUAUUUUACAGAAAUCAUAAUGACAGAUUUUGUACAGAGAAAGCCAUAAAACCUGCAAUGGUGCAUGUUACCACUGUGAUGUUAAAGCAGGGUGUUCAAUUUUAAAAUAUCCUCUCCCUCUUAGUGAAGGUACAGGAGGUGGAGGAGGGUCUGUACACCAACCUGAAUUGAGAACACAGACAUCAUCAUCAUCAUCAUCAGGAGAGGAGAUAAACUGUCAGACUCUCCACCUCAUACAACCUGAACCAUCAAGCACAUUUCAUGAGCACAGAUUCAGAUUGUUCAGAUUUAGGAUUGUGGUGAAUUUAAUGGACCAUGAAAACUCUCCAGUCUGAGUAGCAAUUUUGUUUGGCCUCAUGAAUGGACUUUUAAGUGUGUCCCUUACAAAGGACGGGUGAGGUUACAAUUCCAUAGUAAGUGCAUGCUGUACUAGUGUGAAGGUUUUUAUAGAGCAGUAUUUCUCACAGUGUUGCUUUGUUUCUUUUGUCCGUCUCUCAUGACCACCUUGCAAUGUAUUUCAAUGUACAGAUCUCUCAGUAUUUACCUGCUAUUAGUCAUCCUCGAUUUUCUCCUUCACGUUUAGACUUUAUAACUGGCAUAUUUAGAAUAGUAAUACUAGAUUAAUACAGAGUUUUUCAGCUUACCAGACACAAAAAUUUAUUUUGGUUAUGUAUGCUCUUGCCUUAAUGACAGUGUUAACAUUUUAAAAUAAAAGUAUCUGUUAACAGUACUUAGAGCAGGGGUCUCAAACUCAAUUUACCCGGGGUCCGCUGGAGGUAGAGUCUGGGUGAGGCUGGGCCGCAUCAGGUUUUCCACAAGAAAAGCUCUUACAAAAACAUUCCAAUGUUAUCAAAUGUCUUUAUUUUUAUUUUUUAACACAAAAUAAGAUGAAAAAAUAAAUAAAUUAACAAUUCAUAAAAAAAUAAAAUAAAAUCAAU